rnacentral:rRNA from 1 species
AAUCAACUAUGAUUCCCUUAGUAACGGCGAGUGAACAGGGAAAAGCCCAAAUUUGUAAUCUGGCACUUUUUACAAGUGUCCGAGUUGUAAUUUGUAGAGCUGUUAUCCGUACUGGACCAUGUACAAGUCUGUUGAAAAGCAGCAUCAUUGAAGGUGAAAAUCCUGUAGAUGAUAUGGACUACCAGUAUAUUUGUGAUACGGUUUCUAAGAGUCGAGUUGUUUGGGAAUGCAGCUCAAAGUGGGUGGUAAAUUCCAUCUAAGGCUAAAUAUAAGUGAGAGACCGAUAGCAAACAAGUACCGUGAGGGAAAGAUGAAAAGAACUUUGAAAAUAGAGUUAACAGUACGUGAAAUUGCUGAAAGGGAAACGUUUGAAGUUAGUUUUGUAUUCGUUGGAUCAGCUUCGCAAGGAGUGUAUUCUGAUGAUAAGCAAGUCAACAUCAGUCUAUGAGUGUUGGAUAAGGGUUUUGAGAAUGUAGCAAUUUAAUUGUGUUAUAGCUUGAGACUUGGAUACGAUGCUUUGGAUUGAGGAACGCGUAGUAAGC